rnacentral:lncRNA from 1 species
CCAAAGCAGGCCCUGGAAUUAUCGAAAAAAAGACACCAGACCCUGGGAAGCCACUCUCAGAGGCCUGGCUGACACCAUCCCCUGGAGCUCUUCUAUAAGAAAGGUGUGAGGGAGGGCAUCAGAUUGCCAACCUCUCACCCUCUGGAGAUGGCACCCAAGCCCCGCGACGACCCGCUGCCGGUGCAGACGUCCUCCUCCUGACUCGGUGGGUGCUCACCUGCUCCAGUGCUGCAAGUCACUCAGGACACAAGACUGAGCCAAGGAGAUGAAACCUGCCCCACGCAACGUGCAGGGCAAGAGGCUGACCCAGAGGUGAGCAGCGAACGGCAAACAUCAGCAAGCGGGGAGCACGGCACGUGCGGGGCGGCCACACACCAAACGCCAUCUGAUGCCUGGCGCCCUUCUCCACUCUCGGGACACGAACAUGCAUGGCUCACUCUUAGCCCCUCGGGAGCUCCAGCUAGUUGUGUACACAGCUAUCAGCCAUUGACCUCGCACCAUCUACAGCCAACAGCUCAGCCUCUGAUCCAGGCAUGGGUCAGUGCACCAGCCCCCGACCCAGGGCCAGCACCAUGGACAGCUCUUCCCCCCAGAGCCCCGGGUUCUGUAUUCCAGAGCCCUGCAGUGACUUCCGUCCCCUUCCCCGGAAGUCCUGACCACGGAGACAGGCCACAGGUCCUGCAGCUGCCACGUGUGGUGGCUUUGUUUCAUCGUGAUCUGUCCUGCCUGUGUAUGACACGGGUAGUGUGGACUGUGCCACUUCAGUAAACCCAGAGAAACAGCCUCCAAAGGAGGCCUGUCAAUUCACACGCCCACCGGCAGUGCACAGAGCAGGUGCACGGAAAACACGUUAAGCUGAGCAAACAAA